UCUGUAAAUUUGAUGCAAUUCAACAAAACAUAUUGAGCUGUGUGCUGAACCCUGAGAUGGGAUAGAGAAAUGAAAAGAAUUGGGUCCUUGCCCCCCAGAGCAGAGAUACCAGUAAUCUGAUGGACCUUCUUCCAGGCUGAAGGGGAGCAGGGAGAGGGUCCCAGGUGAUGAGGGAGGUAAGCAGGGGUAACAAACAGUGUCCUGGCAUGGUGAGCAUCCCCUCGGCCUUCCAGGGGUGUUUCAAAUUCAACAUUUCCAAAGCAAAAUCAUCUUUCUCAACCUCCUUUCUCCUGGGUUUCUUAUCUCAGUGACCAACAUCAUCACCUGCUCAGUCUCCCAGGACUGAGACCUGGGAGUCAUCCUUGAUUUCUCUCACUUUCUCCCAGUAAUCAGUUGUUCCUUGAGCUUUGUCAAAUCAAACUCUUUAACAGCUCAUAUCUGUCUCUGUCUCUUCUCUGUACUUCCUGUCACCUCCUUAGUUGCGACUCUAUGGGUCAAUGCAAUAUUUUCUCCAUCUUCAACCUUGUAGCUGAUCGUGUCACUCCCUGUUUAAAUCUCUCAGUGACUAAGGAUCAGGUCCAAAUUCCUUGGCAUGGCUCCCACAUGUAGCUCAGACUUUGAUUCUAUGCUGCUUCUACCCAAGCUGAAUUGCUUGCAGAUCCCCUAACCACUGUGCUUUUGGGCCUCUGCCUUUGUCCAUAUAGUUUAUGCCUAGAGGUCCUUACCUACCCUUUUCACCUGGUUAACCUCUACUCAUGCUCAAGGUUCAGUUCAAGAAUCAUGUAAGGUCUGAUAAAUCUUGACCAAUCACCCCUAUCCCCCAACUCAUUAUCCCCCAACUCAUUAUGAGUUAGGUAGCUUUUCUUUGGGUUCAUGUAGUAUCCCUUGUAUGUCUCUAUCUUCCCACACUAUUGAUUCAUUUUUCUCCCUCAUGGGAUUGUAAACACCUUCAGGUUAGAGAGCAAGCUUUUUUUUUUUUUUAAUGCUUCUUUAUUAUUAUAAUUUUAAGUGUUUAAAUGUUUAUUUUUGAGAGAGAGAAAGAGAGAGAAAGAGAGCAAGCAAGAGCACAAGUGGGGGUGGGGCAGAGAGAGAAGGAGACUCAGAAUUUGAAGUAGGCUCCAGGCUCUGAGCUGUUAGCACAGAGCUCAACAUGGGGCUCAAGCCCAUGAAACACGAGAUCAUGACCUGAGCUGAAGUGGGAUGCUUAACCUACUGAGCCACCCAGGCGCCCCACCCCCCCUUUUCAAAUGUCUGUAGUUUCAGAGAUCUGAACAAUCCCCAACACUCUCAAUGUUUUUAAAUUAAUACAUUUUCAUUAAAAAAAAAAUUGGCUUCAGGAUUUAAGAAAAGAGCAACUUUACAAAUUCACUUAGGGUCUUGCCCUCCCCAUCCCUUUCAUCUUUUUGCCCUGUGAUUCUGGGGAAGGCAGGAAGCUUUUACUGUCAAUUCUGGGUUACCCCACUGUGUAAACAGCAGUCCAGAUCAUGCAAAUUUAGGGAUCCAUACGAAGUCAUUUCCAUUUAGUUUUGGGACCAUCUGAAAAUUUGGAUUUAAAUGUGAGUGGGUCUUAUGUUCUUGGAAUUUCCAUUAGAAGCCAGAUCCAGGAGCCACUGGCUGAAGUCAUACAUGGGUAUGUCCCAGUUAGUGGACUUAACCAUGCUGGCCAGCUUUACCCGCUCCCCCACCCCUCAUCCCUGCUGAAAAUCAAGAGACUGGCAUUCUGGAUUAUAUGUUGGUAUUUUAUGAGCUGGGUUGACAUUAUUUAGUUCAUAAGAGUCUGACAAAACAGGCCAUACUGAAAAAAUAAAAGUUGUAGGUCAGCAAACCUGGUUAUAAACUCUGUUCCCCCACAAGACCCCAACCAUCCAUCGUAUCUCCCCAACUCCACAUGCUUCACCUCAUUCUCUUAUCUGACCCCUCACCACUUGUCAUUUCUAUCUCUUGUAAUCCCAGAUCAGGUCAAUGCAGAGUUUAGUGAAGAUGGGUAACAAUGCCAUAGAAAAGCCAAGAGUCAUAGCCUUUUACUUUCUCCCAGGGAUUGCUACUAGACAAAAGUUGCCCGUGGAAUGGAAACCAUUUUGUAAGGCUUUAUUAUAAUAUCCAACACUUCUGUUCAAAGAUUGGGACCUGUGAAGGUCUAUCUGGGUGGUGUGAAUCUUUACCUCUCCUUACAGUUCCAGGUAUUCCUAAGGUUUCCCUGGAGCUGGCAAAGUACUUGAUUUGGGGGUUCCUUCUCAGGGUACAAAGGGAAGGACACUAGGAAAAAGGGAGUAGAGGGUGGAUUGGGGACCAAAAUGAAAAAUGGCAAAGCCAGAACUGGGUGAGUAGGAAUGGGUACAUUCAUCUUUGUUGGGUGUCCUUUCUAGAGCAUAGGAUUGAGGCUCAAGUAUUCUCCUUUAAUUCUAGAUUCCUGGGCUGGAAGUGUCCUCCAGAAUGCUUACCUGGGUACAGGUGUACAGCUGGUUUUCUAAAGAUCUCAGUUUGCACUUCAAUUUGUCUUCAUUAAGCUGGCCCUGGAGCAAAUGGGAUGACUUAAUUAGUCUGGGCCAAAAUAUAGCAUGCAAAGAGUUUUCUUCUGUUUUCCCAGCUUACUGCCUAGAACAUGGUCUGUGCUCAAGCAAUGUUUGUGGAACUGAACUCUUUCAGGAGGUAGGGAGGAGGAAGGAUGUCAAAGGAUGUUUAGGUAGAAGAUCUUUUCUUCUGUCUCUGGAAUAGGAGAAGGAGGAAUCGGACUGGCCCCAAGUCUUCUCUGUAUCUUGAGGUCCUCUAUCCAAUGGCUCAAGGUAUGAUAAUAGUUCACUUGAAGGAAAUCUUCUAAGCUCUUCUUUUCUUUCCUCAUUACCUCUCUCUCCUGUCUGUCUAGGCACUUCUGUAUUCCUCACCCCCUCAGUUGUGUACAGGAUCUUUACUUCUAAAGUAUAGGCCAGUAAGACCAAAAGGGUCUCCACAUUCCCUUCCUUACCUCCAUCAUGGGCUGAAUUGUGUCCCCCUUUGCUCUCCCCACCCCCAGAUUUAUACAUUAACAUCCUAACUCCCAGCGCCUCAGAAUGUGACUGUAUUUGGAGAUAGGAUCUUUAAAGAGAUAAUGAAUUUAAAAUGAGGUUGUUAGGGUGGGCCCUAAUCCACUAUGACUGGUAUCCUCAUAAGAAGAGAACAGAGCACUAUGUGAAGAAGACACAGGAGAAGACCGUCAUCUCAAGCCAAGGAGAGAAGCCUCAGGAGAAACCAACCCUGUCAAUACCUUGAUUUUAGACUUCUAGCUUCCAGAAUUGUGAGAAAAUAAAUUUCUUUUGGUUAA